rfam:Salmo salar isolate Sally breed double haploid chromosome ssa01, whole genome shotgun sequence.
UAGCUCAGUUGGUAGAGCAUGGUGUUUGCAACGCCAGGGUUGUGGGUUCGGAUUCCCAC